rnacentral:rRNA from 1 species
CGGCAUGCCUAACACAUGCAAGUCGAGCGAGAACGCGCCUUCGGGGGUUAUUAGAGCGGCGGACGGGGGAGGAACGCGUGGGAAUCUGCCCAGUAGUGGGGGACAACCCGAGGAAACUCGGGCUAAUACCGCAUACGCCCCAAGGGGGAAAGGAGGGGACCUUUAUCGGAUGAGCCUGCGUCGGAUUAGCUUGUUGGUGAGGUAAAGGCUCACCAAGGCGACGAUCCGUAGCUGGUCUGAGAGGACGAUCAGCCACACUGGGACUGAGACACGGCCCAGACUCCUACGGGAGGCAGCAGUGGGGAAUAUUGGACAAUGGGCGAAAGCCUGAUCCAGCAAUGCCGCGUGUGUGAAGAAGGCCUUAGGGUUGUAAAGCACUUUCAGAUGUGACGAUAAUGACGGUAGCAUCAGAAGAAGUCCCGGCUAACUCCGUGCCAGCAGCCGCGGUAAUACGAGGGGUGCAAGCGUUAAUCGGAAUUACUGGGCGUAAAGCGCGCGUAGGUGGUUUGGUCAGUCGGAUUUGAAAGCCCUGGGCUCAACCUGGGAACUGCAUUCGAUACUGCCUGACUAGAGUGUGGUAGAGGGAAGUGGAAUUCCGGGUGUAGCGGUGAAAUGCGUAGAUAUCCGGAGGAACACCAGUGGCGAAGGCGGCUUCCUGGACCAACACUGACACUGAGGUGCGAAAGCGUUGGGAGCGAACAGGAUUAGAUACCCUGGUAGUCCACGCCGUAAACGAUGAGAACUAGAUGUUGGGGGGCAUGUCCCUUUAGUGUCGAAGCUAACGCGUUAAGUUCUCCGCCUGGGGAGUACGGCCGCAAGGUUAAAACUCAAAUGAAUUGACGGGGGCCCGCACAAGCGGUGGAGCAUGUGGUUUAAUUCGAUGCAACGCGAAAAACCUUACCUACUCUUGACAUCCUCGGAACUUGUCAGAAAUGACUUGGUGCCUUCGGGAGCCGAGUGACAGGUGCUGCAUGGCUGUCGUCAGCUGGUGUCGUGAGAUGUUGGGUUAAGUCCCGUAACGAGCGCAACCCUUGUCCUUAGUUGCCAGCACGUAAUGGUGGAACUCUAAGGAGACUGCCGGUGACAAACCGGAGGAAGGUGGGGACGACGUCAAGUCAUCAUGGCCCUUACGACCUGGGCUACACACGUGCUACAAUGGUCGGUACAGAGGGUUGCCAAGCCGCGAGGUGGAGCUAAUCCCAGAAAGCCGGUCGUAGUCCGGAUUGGAGUCUGCAACUCGACUCCAUGAAGUCGGAAUCGCUAGUAAUCGCGAAUCAGAAUGUCGCGGUGAAUACGUUCCCGGCCUUGUACACACCGCCCGUCACACCAUGGGAGUGGAUUGCACCAGAAGUAGGUUGCCUAACCUUCGGGAGGGCGCUCACCACUG